rnacentral:rRNA from 1 species
UACGUAGGGUGCGAGCGUUAUUCGGAAUUACUGGGCGUAAAGCGUGCGCAGGCGGUUUUGUAAGCCUGGUGUGAAAUCCCCGGGCUUAACCUGGGAACUGCAUUUGGGACUGCAAGGCUUGAGUGCGGCAGAGGAAACUGGAAUUCCUGGUGUAGCAGUGAAAUGCGUAGAUAUCAGGAGGAAUACCGAUGGCGAAGGCAGGUCUCUGGGCUGACACUGACGCUCAUGCACGAAAGCGUGGGGAGCAAACAGG